AGCACAGGGGAGCUUGCUCCCCGGGUGACGAGCGGCGGACGGGUGAGUAAUGUCUGGGAAACUGCCUGAUGGAGGGGGAUAACUACUGGAAACGGUAGCUAAUACCGCAUAACGUCGCAAGACCAAAGAGGGGGACCUUCGGGCCUCUUGCCAUCAGAUGUGCCCAGAUGGGAUUAGCUAGUAGGUGGGGUAAUGGCUCACCUAGGCGACGAUCCCUAGCUGGUCUGAGAGGAUGACCAGCCACACUGGAACUGAGACACGGUCCAGACUCCUACGGGAGGCAGCAGUGGGGAAUAUUGCACAAUGGGCGCAAGCCUGAUGCAGCCAUGCCGCGUGUGUGAAGAAGGCCUUCGGGUUGUAAAGCACUUUCAGCGAGGAGGAAGGUGGUGAGCUUAAUACGCUCAUCAAUUGACGUUACUCGCAGAAGAAGCACCGGCUAACUCCGUGCCAGCAGCCGCGGUAAUACGGAGGGUGCAAGCGUUAAUCGGAAUUACUGGGCGUAAAGCGCA
rnacentral:rRNA from 1 species